GGCAGAGCCCAGAAAAACUUUGCUUUGUGGUCUGGCAAGACCAGUGGUUAUGACUUAAAAUGAAGAGAUGGGAAUAAACUUCUCAUGGAGGCACCCAACUCAUCACUCAUCUGACAGCACAUGUAGAAAGAAGGAGAGGAAACAGUACCAAAGAUAUCCGAAUAAUGGUACUAAUCACACAGACCGAAAAGGAGGAAAGAAAGAUUCAGCACAUUCAGAACUGGAAAGUGAGCUGUGGCAGGGAACAUCUGCAAGGAACAAAUGUUUCAAUGACAAGCUGCCAUCCUUACUGUUACAUAAAGAAGUGGUGUAGUCUGAGAAGGAAACAGACAACACCUACUAACAGUAUCAUAAAAUCAAGGAAUAUGUAGCAAGGUAAUUCACCAUCUGUGUUCCAGUUAAAGACCGCCAAAAGUGCUUGAGAGCUCAUCAUUAUCAUCAUUAAUUGAAUCUGAUAUCAAGAAGGGGCCAAAUUUGACUGAAUCCUUCCAUGCAUCAGGGGACUUCUAAGGGCUCUUUCCCGGUUUAAUUCUUUGGUACUUAAUCAAGUAUAAGUUCUAAUGGUAAUUUACCUUUCAUUAGGACACAUACUCCUCUACCCAGCCAGAUUUUAAUGAUGUACUUAAGAAUUUCUUUAUGAAAUUUCCACCUCUGUGUCAAAUUAGUCUGAAAUCAGUUAACAGGUUCAAAAGUUAUUAGAAUUUUAGGGACAGAUGUGGCAGACAAACACAUUAAGAUGAGACAGAACAAAUAUGAAAAUCUUCUUAAAGAAACAUAAAUGUAAAAGAUAAUAAAGAAUAUUUAUUCAUUUAUUAAAAUUCCUGGGUAAUGUUCUAUUUUGAUUUAUGAUUCAUAAAUCAGUAAAUUUUCCUUAUCAAUAUCAAAUAAUUAUCCUUCUUGUUGCUGUAAUCCAAAAAUAAUCUUGUAACACUAGUCAUAACUAGAAGUAGUUGUGAUUCUGGGGAAGGUCUAUUACUAGGAUAAGUACGUGGUGAUAUGUCAUAUUCUGUACAGAAAAAUAUUUAAUUAGAAUGCAUUUUGAGGUUAGACUGGAUAUGCUCUCUGAUGUCUUCUAAAAACCUAAUGGAAUUUAGUGUCAAGAACUAAUACUUUUAAACUUGUUUUUUACUUUACUUGGCUAAAUGUUACAACUGAUUCCUAGGCUGAUGUGGGAAAAAAUGUUAAUUUUGAAUCAAUCCUGAAAGGAAAAGAAGACGCAGGAAAACUUAAACAAGGUAUCAUUAUGACCAUUUAUUAUGUUUAUUGCUAGCUACAGAGAUAUGUACUAUCUUACUGAUGUCAAAAAAAGAACAAAGAUUAUUUUAGCAUAUGUAAUAAAGAAACAUUCUUUUG